CCUACGGGCGACAGCAGUGGGGAAUAUUGCGCAAUGGGGGAAACCCUGACGCAGCAACGCCGCGUGAUGGAAGAAGUCUUUCGGUAUGUAAACUUCUAUAAUCGGGGACGAAUAUGACGGUUCCUGACUAAAUAGCCCCCGCUAACUACGUGCCAGCCGCCGCCGUAAUACGUAGGGGGCAAGCGUUUUCCGGAUUUACUGGGUGUAAAGGGGGCGUAGGCGGCGAUGCAAGUCAGAAGUGAAAGCGGGGGGCUCAACUCCGCGACUGCUUUUGAAACUGUCUGUCUAGAUUGCAGGAGAGGCAAGUGGAAUUCCGAGUGUAGCGGUGAAAUGCGUAGAUAUUAGGAGGAACACCAGUGGCGAAGGCGGCUUGCUGGACUGUAAAUGACGCUGAGGCGCGAAAGCGUGGGGAGCAAACAGGAUUAGAUACCCCAGUAGUC
rnacentral:rRNA from 1 species